ACCCUGCUAUGGGUAGAAAGGGUGGCGGUCGGCCGCGUCCGGCAGGCCCCUCGGCCGCCGCCCCUGCGGGUCCUGCCCCGGGCACGGGGUCCCGUGAUGGCGGCAGUGUGGAUGGAGCCGGUACCGUUGAGUGGACUUUGCUCUGGGCGCUGCUGCCUCUGCUCAAGUGGCGCGGGCUUGUCACUUCAUCCCAGUCCUACAGCUGUGGCGGGUCUCUGGCAGGUGUCCAGUCACUGCAUGAAGGAUGGAAGGUGCCUCCUGCCAAGGGCUCCCACAGCUACAGAUCCAGCCCCUGCCCUGACCUGCAGUCUCUGAGGAGCAGAAGGCUUUGGGACCCCAUCCAGGCCCUGCCACUUCCCAAGCAGGUACCACCACUUCAUCAUCACCCAGGAUAAUCAGUGAGUCUCAGCUGCUGUUGCUGUAAUUAUUAUUGUUGCUGUUUUCAUUAUCUUUGUUACUUUUUCCCAUUCCUGUGGCAUCUUAAAGUCCUUACUGUUCUAUGCCUCACAGUCCACAUAGGGAGGUCCUGACCUCAUGGCAUUCUCCAUUGGCUCCCACAUAGGAGGCUCUGUCUCUCUUUUUUUNNNNNNNNNNNNNNNNNNNNNNNNNNNNNNNNNAGGCAGAGACACAAGAGGGAGAAGCAGGCUCUAUGCAGGGAUCCUGACGUGGGACUUGAUCCCGGGUCUCCAGAAUCAGGCCCUGGGCUGAAGGCAGCGCUAAACCGCUGAGCCACCUGGGCUGCCCAGGAGGCUCUGUCUCUUAUGCUGCUAUAUUCCAGGCAAAACAGCAUCUCUGCCUCUUUAAGUUCAGCGCAGAGCUCAGCCCUCACAGGGUAUUUGGUUACUCUGCUCCCUUGCCAUCAAGAGAGAUGGACUCUGAUUCCUAUCAGUAGCCCCAAGACCAACACACUGCCUCUGACUUUUCAGAUGCCUGUGACCUUUGAUUAUGUGGCCGUGACUUUUACCCAGGAGGAGUGGGGGCAGCUGGAUCUGGCCCAGAGGACCCUGUAUGAGGAGGUGAUGCUGGAGACCUCCAGGCUCCUGGUGUCUCUGGGUAAGGCUUCCCUAACUCUGCCAUAUGGGAAAUCUGUAACCUCCUCCACUCCACUCUCUGGCUUCAGGCCUGGCUACUUGUGAAGGCUGCUGUAGCCAUCCUGUCCUCCUCCCCACUUCAGUCAUUUUCUAGACUCCUCUUUUCCUGCCUACUCUCCUGUGUCUUAAGGAGGGUUAGGCAAGAAACAUAGUUUGCUUUUGGUCACAACCAAAGGAGAAGGAUGUGCUGGGAGAAGAUGGAGGUAUCUCACAGAACCUAAAGGCAGGAAUUCCAGCUGGGUCCCUGGGGGACUGAUACAGGAACUUAUAAACGCACAGUUAUGCCCUGGCUACUGGGGCUUUC
rnacentral:lncRNA from 1 species